rnacentral:rRNA from 1 species
GUAGGUGGCAAGCGUUGUCCGGAAUUAUUGGGCGUAAAGCGCGCGCAGGCGGUCCUUUAAGUCUGAUGUGAAAGCCCACGGCUCAACCGUGGAGGGUCAUUGGAAACUGGGGGACUUGAGUACAGAAGAGGAAAGCGGAAUUCCAAGUGUAGCGGUGAAAUGCGUAGAGAUUUGGAGGAACACCAGUGGCGAAGGCGGCUUUCUGGUCUGUAACUGACGCUGAGGCGCGAAAGCGUGGGGAGCAAACAGGGAUUAGAUACCCUGGUAGUCCACGCCGUAAGCGAUGAGUGCUAAGUGUUAGGGGGUUUCCGCCCCCCUUAGUGCUGCAGCUAACGCAUUAAGCACUCCGCCUGGGAGUACGGCCGCAAGGCUG